rnacentral:piRNA from 1 species
GUUAAGAUUGGGCAGCCUC